GCUGGCGGCAGGCCUAACACAUGCAAGUCGAGCGGUAACAGAAAGAAAGCUUGCUUUCUUUGCUGACGAGCGGCGGACGGGUGAGUAAUGCCUGGGAAUAUGCCUUAGUGUGGGGGAUAACUAUUGGAAACGAUAGCUAAUACCGCAUAACGUCUUCGGACCAAAGAGGGGGACCUUCGGGCCUCUCGCGCUAAGAUUAGCCCAGGUGGGAUUAGCUAGUUGGUGAGGUAAAGGCUCACCAAGGCAACGAUCCCUAGCUGGUCUGAGAGGAUGAUCAGCCACACUGGAACUGAGACACGGUCCAGACUCCUACGGGAGGCAGCAGUGGGGAAUAUUGCACAAUGGGGAAACCCUGAUGCAGCCAUGCCGCGUGUAUGAAGAAGGCCUUCGGGUUGUAAAGUACUUUCAGUCGUGAGGAAGGCAUUGUAGUUAAUAGCUGCAGUGCUUGACGUUAGCGACAGAAGAAGCACCGGCUAACUCCGUG
rnacentral:rRNA from 1 species